rnacentral:rRNA from 1 species
UACGUAGGGUGCAAGCGUUGUCCGGAAUCAUUGGGCGUAAAGAGCGUGUAGGCGGUCCGGUAAGUCCGUUGUGAAAGUCAAAGGCUCAACCUUUGAAAGCCGAUGGAUACUGUGUGGCUAGAGUACGGAAGAGGCGAGUGGAAUUCCUGGUGUAGCGGUGGAAUGCGCAGAUAUCAGGAGGAACACCAAUAGCGAAGGCAGCUCGCUGGGACGUUACUGACACUGAGGCGCGAAAGCGUGGGGAGCGAACAGG